rnacentral:rRNA from 1 species
UCGAGCGCUUCACUUCGGUGAGGAGCGGCGGACGGGUUAGUAACGCGUGGGAACAUACCCUUUUCUACGGAAUAGCCUUUGGAAACGAAGAGUAAUACCGCAUACGCCCUUCGGGGGAAAGAUUUAUCGGUGAAGGAUUGGCCCGCGUUAGAUUAGUUAGUUGGUGGGGUAACGGCCUACCAAGACGACGAUCUAUAGCUGGUUUGAGAGGAUGAUCAGCAACACUGGGACUGAGACACGGCCCAGACUCCUACGGGAGGCAGCAGUGGGGAAUCUUAGACAAUGGGCGCAAGCCUGAUCUAGCGAUGCCGCGUGAGUGACGAAGGUCUUAGGAUCGUAAAGCUCUUUCGCCAGGGAUGAUAAUGACAGUACCUGGUAAAGAAACCCCGGCUAACUCCGUGCCAGCAGCCGCGGUAAUACGGAGGGGGUUAGCGUUGUUCGGAAUUACUGGGCGUAAAGCGCACGUAGGCGGAUUAGUAAGUUAGGGGUGAAAUCCCAGGGCUCAACCCUGGAACUGCCUCUAAAACUGCUAGUCUUGAGUUCGAGAGAGGUAAGUGGAAUUCCUAGUGUAGAGGUGAAAUUCGUAGAUAUUAGGAGGAACACCAGUGGCGAAG